rnacentral:rRNA from 1 species
CCCGCUGAACUUAAGCAUAUUACUAAGCGGAGGAAAAGAAACCAACGGGGAUUCCCAUAGUAACUGCGAGUGAAAGGGGAAAAGCCCAGCGCCGAAUCCUGCCGCUGGAGACGGUGGCAGGAACUGUGGCGUGAAGAUGGUGUCUAUCGGUGUGGCUCGCUCGCGUAAGUUCUCCUGAGUGAGGCUCCAUCCCAUGGAGGGUGCAAGGCCCGUGUCGUGAGCAGCCGUCGCCGAUGUGCGCUAUCAGAGAGUCGCCUUGUUUGCGAGUACAAGGUGAAGUCGGUGGUAAGCUCCAUCGAAGGCUAAAUAUGACCACGAGUCCGAUAGCGAACAAGUACCGUGAGGGAAAAUUGAAAAGCACUUUGAAGAGAGAGCGAAACAGUGCGUGAAACCGCUCAGAGGCAAGCAGAUGGGGCCUCGAAGGCAGAGCCGCGAAUUCAGCCGGUGGUCCGUGCGGUGGGUUGGGAUUGGAGAUCGUAAGACUCUGCCUGGCUUUACUUGUGCGGCUACCGGUGCACUUUCGCGGCUUGUACGCCACCGCCGUUAAGGAGCGUCCGCCGGGCCUGCGUGUGGAGCCUAACUGUCUUCGGGCAGUUGGUGUCUCACUGCGGGUCUGUGCGCGAUCGCGCUUUAACCGGUCAUGUCAGCAUGUGCCAGCGUUUGCGCUGGGUCAGUCGGCUCCGGUUGGGCUGUAUGGGGAUGACGAGCUUGCUCGGCUCUCCUGCACCUGAUGGACUCUUGCGGGCUUUCAGCGUGGCACAUUGUGGAUUCGGUGGCGAGUAGACGGCUGCCCAUCUAACCCGUCUUGAAACACGG